CGUGUAGGCGGUUUAGCAAGUCAGAUGUGAAAGCCCUGGGCUCAACCCGGGAAGUGCAUUUGAAACUGCUUCACUAGAGUAUGGGAGAGGAGAUUGGAAUUCCUGGUGUAGAGGUGAAAUUCGUAGAUAUCAGGAGGAACACCCGUGGCGAAGGCGAUUCUCUGGACCAAUACUGACGCUGAGACGCGAAAGCGUGGGGAGCAAACAGGAUUAGAUACCCUGGUAGUCC
rnacentral:rRNA from 1 species